CGGGUGAGUAACGCGUGAGGAACCUGCCUCAAAGAGGGGGACAACAGUUGGAAAGACUGCUAAUACCGCAUAAGCCCACAGCUCGGCAUCGAGCAGAGGGAAAAGGAGUGAUCCGCUUUGAGAUGGCCUCGCGUCCGAUUAGCUAUUGGUGAGGUAACGGCCCACCAAGGCGACGAUCGGUAGCCGGACUGGGAGGUUGAACGGCCACAUUGGGACUGAGACACGGCCCAG
rnacentral:rRNA from 1 species